AGAGUUUGAUCAUGGCUCAGAACGAACGCUGGCGGCAUGCUUAACACAUGCAAGUCGAACGAAGGCUUCGGCCUUAGUGGCGCACGGGUGAGUAACGCGUGGGAACCUGCCCAUUGGUUCGGAAUAACGUCGGGAAACUGACGCUAAUACCGGAUACGUCCUACGGGAGAAAGAUUUAUCGCCGAUGGAGGGGCCCGCGU
rnacentral:rRNA from 1 species